rnacentral:rRNA from 1 species
AUUGAACGCUGGCGGCAGGCCUAACACAUGCAAGUCGAGCGGAUGAAGGGAGCUUGCUCCUGGAUUCAGCGGCGGACGGGUGAGUAAUGCCUAGGAAUCUGCCUGGUAGUGGGGGAUAACGUCCGGAAACGGGCGCUAAUACCGCAUACGUCCUGAGGUAGAAAGUGGGGGAUCUUCGGACCUCACGCUAUCAGAUGAGCCUAGGUCGGAUUAGCUAGUUGGUGGGGUAAAGGCCUACCAAGGCGACGAUCCGUAACUGGUCUGAGAGGAUGAUCAGUCACACUGGAACUGAGACACGGUCCAGACUCCUACGGGAGGCAGCAGUGGGGAAUAUUGGACAAUGGGCGAAAGCCUGAUCCAGCCAUGCCGCGUGUGUGAAGAAGGUCUUCGGAUUGUAAAGCACUUUAAGUUGGGAGGAAGGGCAGUAAGUUAAUACCUUGCUAUUUUGACGUUACCAACAGAAUAAGCACCGGCUAACUUCGUG